UCAUACUAUAAACCUUCAAGAACAGACAAAAUAAAUUUACAAUUAUAUCUAGGUCUAUAAGUUGCUAACACCAAAUUUUAAUUCUGAUUUGCAGUUAGCAAAAUCAAAAUAAACAUACAUCAGUAUUGUAUAUAUUUAUGUACUUUUUUCACAAUUCUUGAAUUGUAUAAAUAGAUAUACGUUCAUUAUAUCAUUGUUCUUCUUACAUUUUAAAACUUUUGUUUUAAAGUUUUGUAUCGUAAUUGUAAGCUAAAAACAUUUUUUUUUACUCUGUGAUAAAUGUUAUACCCACAAUACAACUUUCUGCAGCUCAUAAUUUUAUUAUCAUUAGCUUUCUUUGUAUACUCUCAUAAGUAUUAGUAGCCAUAGCUUUUGUUUACAUUCAUCAAUUUGUAAUAAAAAACUUCUGUGCUAGUGAAGUCUUUAUCCGUCCAUAAAAGCUUUUAUACAUGAAUGCAUUAUAUUUGAUUAUGUCUGGCAUGUUUGAUUUGUAAAGAUUUGGUGGAGGAAAAGUUACUCCUGUGCUGACAUGUUACAGUUAACAGGUAUUGGUUCAUUGUUUAUGUUCAAAUAUUAAUUUCUAUCCUUUGUAAAAGUUUAGCAAAUUUGUAGAUGGAAAUCAAACUUCAACCAUCAUUUCAUGCCCACUUCUAGGGAUCUGUACAUUUCUGACAAUAAAUAAGCUAAGCCAUUAUUUUUAUAAUAGAUGGUGUCAAGUUUGUUCUUUCUUGCUAAGUGGAUAUUUCAAAGUGAAGAAAAGUGUCACACAUAUUUC